ensembl:lncRNA
CUCCAUUCAAAGCUGUGGGAAAGUUGUGACUUAGAGAAUUGAGAAUUUGCCCAUGGCCACAUAGCUAGUAACAGUCUUAAUGGGCUUGAACACAGAUGCACAGAUUGUAAUUUUCUUUCUGUUAUUCUAAGAAUGGAAAAAAAUUUGCUCUUGUGGGCCAACUUUGACUGGUUGUCAGUAUUUUCCUGGAGUGGUAUGGGGAUACCUCUGCAGAUUCAUUGCAUGGGAAUAUUGGUGAUGCUGAGGUGUGGAGUAUGAGAUCCACAGGGGCAGAAAGUGACCAGGAGAGCUCUAGAAAAGCCAGAGAGUUUGGAACAUACGCAGUGGAUCGUCUUAGCAAUGAUGAAGGCCCAACUGAGCCCUUCCCAAGUUCCAGAAGGAACACAGCCAUGCAGGGGGCAGCAGAAGCAACAGGUCUCAGUGGAGCAUCCUCUGGCCCUACAGUCAGUAACAGAACACUUUGUUUGCAAGGACACAGUCUACCGCUGUCUGAACUGAUCGAGAAACCUUUUUCCUUGCCAUUUCUCUGCCCUUGUAGUCUUAGUGCAAAUAAUUCAUUCUAGCAGUCUAUUUGCUUUCAUUUCCGUGACUAUUACAAAUAUUGCUCUUUCUGAUUCUUGUGUAAACAGCGUCGGCAAGAAUCCUUCCUCCUCUGAGAGGAUAAAGCAGAAUCAGUGCCCAGAAGUUUAAACUAGACAGUACCUCUGCCUUGCAAAAUCCUACUACAAGUCAAGAUCUGGCUUCUCUGGGGACUCUGUGAUGAGUCAGACACUCAGGGUCUAUGCCCUGGAGGAGCUUGCAGUCAAAAAGGAAAAUCAGGAAACGUGCCUAUGCCCAGAAUACACAGCAGCCGGGGCAAAGUGCUGAAGAGGGGAGAUCUGAAACACAGGACAGCCCUCGUGACUCUGAGUCAUGCUGCCGGGCUUCAGUAUUACUCUGCCACUUACUAACGUGUGAGCUUAGGCAAGUGAUUUACGUGGUCUGUGCCUCAGUUUCCUCAGCUGUAAAAUAGGGUUAAUACUAAGCAUCUACCUCUUAAAGUGGUCCUGAGGAGUAAAUGCCAAUAUAUGAAAAGUAUGUAAACAGUGCCUAGUGAAUAGUCCAUGUUGCCUUUUGGUAUUAUUUUCUACAUCUGCUUGUUAUAAAGGGCAGUUCCCACUGCUAUGGAACUCAUGUUCAUUGUUAAAAGCAAUAGUGUGUGACCUUCCCUUGUCUUUUUAUUCUUUGGAGCUUGUUUUGUAAAGAGUGUUAUCUGAAUAGCAGCAGACCUUUAGAGACAGCACCAAGUUGGUGACUGCCACACUUCCCUGUGCUGUCCAGAACCUGGUCGGCAGGUGGCCCUUAUACCCAUGUGACUCAAUGGGAUGGCCCCUGGUUGAGGCUCAUUGCCCAGGGACUUAACAAGCACCAUCCCUAGCUCUUUUGGACCCCACAGUAACUCUUCAGCUUAGCACUUCUUUCCUGUCCUGUACCUUUAUUUUUUUUUUUUUUGAGAGGGUGUUUUGCUCUUGUUGCCCAGACUGGAGUACAGUGGCACAAUCUUGGCUCAUGGCAGCCUCCGCACCCUGGGGUUCAAGUGAUUCUCCUGCCUCAGCCUCCCAAGUAGCUGGGAUUACAGGUGCUUGCCACUAUGCCUGGCUAUUUUUAAAAAUAUUUUUAGUAGAGACGAGGUUUCACCAGGUUAGUUAGGCUGGUCGCAAACUCCUGACCUCAAGUAUUCCGCCCACCCUGGCCCCCCAAAGUGCCAGGAUUGCUGGCGUGAGCCGCCACGCCUGGCUUCUGGAUCAUUUUUAAAUGAUGUUUAAAUGUGUUAUUCACACUUCCUAGAUUUCUUCUAAUGAGAAGAAAAGGGCUAAUUAAACUGGAAACCUUCUGGAAGCUUAGUCCCCUGCUCUGUGUGAUGGCAUCUUUAUAUUCCUCUCCGUGCUUAUCUCUGAGUCUCUCCUCUGCAAUGAUGUGGCUUUUCAUUAUUUCCAGCCCUCCAAGGGCCUUUUAGGGUCUCUUACCAUCUGUCUUCCCACGUUGUUGCCAGACACACCACCACUCUUUCGUGGCAUGCGUUUCUGGUGUUCAAAUCCUGGCAGCGUCAGGAGAUGUAAAUGGGGACUCUUAGAGAACUGAAAACUGUGUAUAUGCUUGAGAGGAUGGAAUGGAGAUAAGAUAGCCAGUUGUUUAAGUGUUGCUGGCUUGAAAUCAGCCCUGGUAGGAGUCACAGAACAUCUUGGAACUUGGCAGAUUCAGAGUACCCCUUGCAACCUUAUUUUCUGGCAUUUUUGGCAUGGAUUAAAAAUAAGAAGUUGGAGCUGGAAGCAAACCAGAGGUAUGCUUUCUCUGCUGUCUUCUUGAAAGGUUGGCUCACUGCCUUAGAAUCCAGGCUUUUCGAACUUCCUAAAACAACAACAACAAAAAGACCGUUAGAUCGCAGGAUUUAAACAAAACAAAACAUAUUUUUCUGAGACAAAUACUUAUCUUUUUUGCCCUACUAAACUAGCUUCCCAGGAAACUCCAGCCAGAUAAAUGAGAAGAACAGAGGAGUGAAUUCUCCUAGGAGCUGUGAAGGAGGAGAUAUUCAUCAAAUAACCCAGUGUGGGGUUGCUAAAUGUCACCAUAAUUAAGCAGGUCUACCUAGAGACGUUUAACUGGCCCCAGCACGUUGUUGGUGAUGAUUCCUUUCCAGAAGGCCCCCGGGCAGUAUGCAAGACUCCUGCUCCCAAGCCAAAGAUCUGAGCUUCUCUGUCUUUCUGGCCAAGCAGUGUAUGCACGGCUUUCCAUUUCCCUUUUUACGGAGUCUCCUGGAGAGGAUGCGUCGGGGGCUGCUUCAUUUAGCAGUUAGCUUCUCACUGAUCCAUAAAUCACUCAGCAGGUAGGCGGCAUGGUGCAGAAUAGCCAAGUGGAUGUCAGAUCCAGUGUUGGAGCACUGGGGAACUGAGCAAAACGUUGGUCCUGACUCGAAGGCAGCUGCUGGCUCGAGCUGUGCCAGCCUGCACAUCAGACGGAAGAGAUGCUGGCCCAUCAGCCAUCACAGAGUCCCAGACCCGUGGACUCAACCCCAGGAAAGUUGAUGUCAGCUACACAUUAGGAUCAUCUGUGGCAAUUUUUUAACCUUUCAGUGGUUGAAAACUAAAGAUGCAGCUUAGACCCAUCACGUGAGAAUCUCUGGUGGUGGUACCCGGGGAUAAGGGGUUGUGAAAUCUCCCUCGGUGAUUCCAUUGUGCGCUCAAGGUUGAAAACCACUGCCCUGAAGAGUGAGGGCAAAUUCCCAACAUGGAUCCAGCUGGU